rnacentral:misc_RNA from 1 species
UGAGUUUGCUUACAAUAACAGCUAUCAAUCAAGUAUUGGGAUGGCCUCCAUAUGAAGUCUUGUAUGAUAGAAAGUGUAGAACUCCUCUGUGUUGGGACGAAGUGGGUGAAAGAAAACUGAAUGGCCCAGAAAUUGUUCGGCAGACAGAGGAGAAGAUCAGACUUAUCAGAGACAGGCUCAAGACUGCAUCAGACAGUCAGAAGUCCUACAUCGAUUUGAAAAUGAGAGAUAUUGAAUAUACAGUGAGUGACAAGAUAUUCCUCAAGGUUUCCCCUUGGA